UGGGGAAUAUUGCACAAUGGGGGGAACCCUGAUGCAGCCAUGCCGCGUGAAUGGAGAAGGCCUUCGGGUUGUAAAGUUCUUUCGGUGACGAGGAAGGUUGGUAUGUUAAUAGCAUAUCAAAUUGACGUUAAUCACAGAAGAAGCACCGGCUAACUCCGUGCCAGCAGCCGCGGUAAUACGGGGGGUGCGAGCGUUAAUCGGAAUAACUGGGCGUAAAGGGCACGCAGGCGGUGACUUAAGUGAGAUGUGAAAGCCCCGGGCUUAACCUGGGAAUUGCAUUUCAUACUGGGUCGCUAGAGUACUUUAGGGAGGGGUAGAAUUCCACGUGUAGCGGUGAAAUGCGUAGAGAUGUGGAGGAAUACCGAAGGCGAAGGCAGCCCCUUGGGAAUGUACUGACGCUCAUGUGCGAAAGCGUGGGGAGCAAACAGGAUUAGAUACCCUGGUAGUCCACGCUGUAAACGAUGUCGAUUUGGGGAUUGGGCUUUAAGCUUGGUGCCCGUAGCUAACGUGAUAAAUCGACCGCCUGGGGAGUACGGCCGCAAGGUUA
rnacentral:rRNA from 1 species